GGAAUAUUGGACAAUGGGGGCAACCCUGAUCCAGCCAUCCCGCGUGCAGGAAGACGGCCCUAUGGGUUGUAAACUGCUUUUAUUAGGGAAGAACAGCAUCAAUGUAUUGGUGUAUGACGGUACCUAAAGAAUAAGCACCGGCUAACUCCGUGCCAGCAGCCGCGGUAAUACGGAGGGUGCAAGCGUUAUCCGGAAUCACUGGGUUUGAAGGGUGCGUAGGUGGAAUAAUAAGUCAGGCGUGAAAGGUUACAGCUUAACUGUAGACUUGCGUUUGAUACUGUUAUUCUUGAAUUAAGAUGAGGUUGGCAGAAUGCGACAUGUAGCGGUGAAAUGCAUAGAUAUGUCGUAGAAUACCGAUUGCGAAGGCAGCCAACCGGACUUAUAUUGACACUGAGGCACGAAAGCGUGGGGAGCG
rnacentral:rRNA from 1 species